UGGCUCAGGACCGAACGCUGGCGGCAGGCCUAACACAUGCAAGUCGAACGGUAACAGGAAGAAGCUUGCUUCUUUGCUGACGAGUGGCGGACGGGUGAGUAAUGUCUGGGAAACUGCCUGAUGGAGGGGGAUAACUACUGGAAACGGUAGCUAAUACCGCAUAACGUCGCAAGACCAAAGAGGGGGACCUUCGGGCCUCUUGCCAUCGGAUGUGCCCAGAUGGGAUUAGCUAGUAGGUGGGGUAACGGCUCACCUAGGCGACGAUCCCUAGCUGGUCUGAGAGGAUGACCAGCCACACUGAACUAGACACGUCC
rnacentral:rRNA from 1 species